UUACUGCUAUCGGUGUUCGCCUAACCCAUGCGAGUCAUAUGUUCUUCGUGAACAUGGCGUACUGCUCAGUAACACGUGAAUAACCUGCCCUUGGGACCGGCAUAACCCCGGGAAACUGGGGAUAAUUCCGGAUACCGCAUAUAUGCUGGAAUGCUUUAUGCGUGAAAUGGAUUCGUCUGCCCAAGGAUGGGUCUGCGGCCUAUCAGGUAGUAGUGGGUGUAAUGUACCUACUACCCUACAACGGGUACGGGUUGUGAAAGCAAGAGCCCGGAAAUGGAUUCUGAGACAUGAAUCCAGGCCCUACGGGGCGCACCAGGCGCGAAAACUUUACAAUGCGGGAAACCGUGAUAAGGGGACACCGAGUGCCACCAACAUUUGUUGGCUGUCCAGGUGUGUAAACUACACCUGUUAGCAAGGGCCGGGCAAGACCGGUGC
rnacentral:rRNA from 1 species